UGAACGCUGGCGGCGUGCCUAACACAUGCAAGUCGAACGAUGAUAGAGAGCUUGCUCUCUUGAUUAGUGGCGCACGGGUGAGUAUACCAUAGAUAAUGUACCUCUUAGUUCGGGAUAGCCACUGGAAACGGUGAUUAAUACCGGAUACUCCUUCUUACUCUAAGGUAAGUCGGGAAAGUUUUUUCGCUAAGAGAUCAGUCUAUGUCCUAUCAGCUAGUUGGUGAGGUAAUGGCUCACCAAGGCUAUGACGGGUAUCUGGUUUGAGAGGAUGAUCAGACACACUGGAACUGAGACACGGUCCAGACUCCUACGGGAGGCAGCAGUGAGGAAUAUUGCACAAUGGAGGAAACUCUGAUGCAGCAACGCCGCGUGGAGGAUGACGCAUUUCGGUGUGUAAACUCCUUUUAAGAGGGAAGAUAAUGACGGUACCUGAGGAGGAAGCCACGGCUAACUACGU
rnacentral:rRNA from 1 species